UAGGGCAAAGGAGAUGGCAUUCCUCCUGUAACAAACCGCCAUUGUGGCUAAUGAUGCCUACGUUACU
rnacentral:ncRNA from 19 species